GAGAGUUAAACAGUACGUGAAAUUGUUGAAAGGGAAACGAUUGAAGUCAGUCAUACCAACGGGAAAUCAACCUUUUGAGCUCGGUCUCGUGGGUUUUGAAGAGUUUCAAAGCCUUCGGAUUCGCGGGAUUGGGAUCACUUGGUGUACUUUUUCGUUCGGUUAGUCAACAUCGGUUUUGAAUGUCAUAAAAUGACUGGAGGAAUGUAGCUUCGAUCUCGUAUUGAAGUGUUAUAGCCUUUGGUAGAUGUGAUGUUUGAGACCGAGGAUUGCAACGGAUACCCUUCAGGGCUAUUCGUCUGAUCUCUGAUACGUUGCCUUGAUGUUGAAAGCUUGCUUAUGAUGUUAGGGUAUUACGGUCAAAAGGUUAGAACGAAUUACAUUCGUUAAGGAUGUUGACGUAAUGACUUUAAACGA
rnacentral:rRNA from 1 species